UAUCCAAACACAUUGUGCAGAUCUAGAGAGAGGGUCGUAGGGAGAGAGAAAGAGAGGACCGUCGGCCAUGGUGGUGGUCGACGACGGCCAUGGCGGCGCGUGGCGGUCAACAGCGGCAACAACAACGACGCACCAGGGAACGACGACCAGAGGUCUCUCCGACGACGGUUGAGUUAGAUCGGUGAUGAAGUGCGGCGGUGGUCGUGGCACCGGCUAAGUGGAGAUCGGUGAUGAUAACGCCGGAGAUGACAGCGAAGGUGGCGGUUAUGAACCACGACAGCCGUGGUUCGGAGUUCUUUCCCGGACUCAUCACUGAGGAAGUCUGCAAGUGUGGGUGACUGGAUAUACAAUUCAAAUAAAAUGGGUGAAUAAUAACAGCUCUGUACAUGGCAAUUUACUUGCAUCAUUCCUAAUGCCACACCUUCAAAACCUUUUUCAACAGACAUCACUUCAAUAGGGCUGAUCCAUUUUCCAAGAAGGAUUGGUACGAUAUCAAGGCUCCAUCGCUGU
rnacentral:lncRNA from 1 species